rnacentral:rRNA from 1 species
AACGAACGCUGGCGGCAGGCUUAACACAUGCAAGUCGAGCGCCCCGCAAGGGGAGCGGCAGACGGGUGAGUACCGCGUGGGAACGUACCUUUUGGUUCGGAACAACUCCGGGACACUGGAGCUAAUACCGGAUAAGCCCUAACGGGGAAAGAUUUAUCGCCGAAAGAUCGGCCCGCGUCUGAUUAGCUAGUUGGUGAGGUAACGGCUCACCAAGGCGACGAUCAGUAGCUGGUCUGAGAGGAUGAUCAGCCACACUGGGACUGAGACACGGCCCAGACUCCUACGGGAGGCAGCGGUGGGGAAUAUUGGACAAUGGGCGCAAGCCUGAUCCAGCCAUGCCGCGUGAGUGAUGAAGGCCUUAGGGUUGUAAAGCUCUUUUGUCCGGGAAGAUAAUGACUGUACCGGAAGAAUAAGCCCCGGCUAACUUCGUG